rnacentral:rRNA from 1 species
CCGCUGAAUUUAAGCAUAUCACUAAGCGGAGGAAAAGAAACUAACAAGGAUUCCCUCAGUAACGGCGAGUGAAGUGGGAUCAGCCCAGCACCGAAUCCCCUAGGGCUUACCUAGCGGGAACUGUGGUGUUCAGGACGUCAACUGGUAGCGCAAGACCGACCCAAGUCCCUUCUGAUCGAGGCCUUUCCCAGAGCGGGUGUUAGGCCUUUAGGGUCGGUCGAACGUUGCCUGCGAGCGUCCCAAGAGUCGGGUUGUUUGGGAAUGCAGCCCAAAGCAGGUGGUAAACUCCAUUUAAGG